GCCGAACCCCUAGCGAAGGAGGAGCUGAACUGCCCCUGUAGGUCAGGUGACAAUUUUGUUAGGAGUUUGGUAGACCCUUCAUCCACCGAGGUCCCUUGUACAUACAUGAAUGAGGGUGCAUACAGUGACAUUGUGUAUCCAUCCAUUCUUCCCUGUGCCGGUACAGAGUGCAGCAUUGGACGGACAGAUUUGUAUCGCGCUGUGUGUAUACGGUCGAGUUAGGAGGAUUUGCUCGCACUGUUUGAUUGUGUAUACUUACAAUCUACUAUUAGGUUCAAAGAGCGCGAUAAUUUGUGCUUGUAUGGUGCUCCCGCAUUUCCAGCUAUCUUAACAGAGAUGUAACUUCAACUGCGAAGUGUGUUGUCGUCUGUCACCUUUGUUUUGCUCCUGAAAAACUUUUAACAGAGAUGUAGCUAAAACUGCAAAGUGUGUUGUCGUCUGUCACCUUUGUUUUGCUCCUGAAGAACUUUUAAC
rnacentral:lncRNA from 1 species